AGAGUUUGAUUAUGGCUCAGGAUGAACGCUGGCGGCGUGCCUAACACAUGCAAGUCGAACGGGUGUACAGAAGGGAAGAUUACGGUCGGAAGAUCUGUGCAUGAGUGGCGGACGGGUGAGUAACGCGUGGGCAACCUGGCCUGUACAGGGGGAUAACACUUAGAAAUAGGUGCUAAUACCGCAUAACGGGAGAAGCCGCAUGGCUUUUUCCUGAAAACUCCGGUGGUACAGGAUGGGCCCGCGUCUGAUUAGCCAGUUGGCAGGGUAACGGCCUACCAAAGCGACGAUCAGUAGCCGGCCUGAGAGGGCGGACGGCCACACUGGGACUGAGACACGGCCCAGACUCCUACGGGAGGCAGCAGUGGGGGAUAUUGCACAAUGGGGGGAACCCUGAUGCAGCGACGCCGCGUGGGUGAAGAAGCGCCUCGGCGCGUAAAGCCCUGUCAGCAGGGAAGAAAAUGACGGUACCUGAAGAAGAAGCCCCGGCUAACUACGUGCCAGCAGCCGCGGUAAUACGUAGGGGGCAAGCGUUAUCCGGAUUUACUGGGUGUAAAGGGGGC
rnacentral:rRNA from 1 species